rnacentral:rRNA from 1 species
AGCCUCUAGCGAGCUGGUACAUGGCCCGUACCCCAAACCGACACAGGUGGUCAGGUAGAGAAUACUAAGGCGAUCGAGAGAACUGUGGUUAAGGAACUCGGCAAAAUGCCCCCGUAACUUCGGGAGAAGGGGGACCAGUCCUGGUGACGACAUUUACUGUCUGAGCUGGGGUUGGUCGCAGAGACCAGAGAGAAGCGACUGUUUACUAAAAACACAGGUCCGUGCGAAGUCGUAGGACGAUGUAUACGGACUGACGCCUGCCCGGUGCUGGAAGGUUAAGAGGACCGGUCAGCCACUUCGGUGGCGAAGCUGAGAAUUUAAGCCCCAGUAAACGGCGGUGGUAACUAUAACCAUCCUAAGGUAGCGAAAUUCCUUGUCGGGUAAGUUCCGACCUGCACGAAUGGCGUAACGACUUCUCUGCUGUCUCAACCACAGACUCGGCGAAAUUGCAGUACGAGUAAAGAUGCUCGUUACGCGCGGCAGGACGAAAAGACCCCGGGACCUUCACUAUAGCUUGGUAUUGGUGUUCGGUUCGGUUUGUGUUGGAUAGGUGGGAGACUGUGAAACUCGCACGCCAGUGUGGGUGGAGUCAUUGUUGAAGUACCACUCUGACCGUAUUGGACAUCUAACCUCGGACCAUGAUCUGGUUCAGGGACAGUGCCUGGUGGGUAGUUUAACUGGGGCGGUUGCCUCCCAAAAAGUAACGGAGGCGCCCAAAGGUUCCCUCAGCCUGGUUGGCAAUCAGGUGUUGAGUGUAAGUGCACAAGGGAGCUUGACUGUGAGACGUACAUGUCGAGCAGGGACGAAAGUCGGGACUAGUGAUCCGGCACCGGCAAGUGGAAGCGGUGUCGCUCAACGGAUAAAAGGUACCCCGGGGAUAACAGGCUGAUCUUCCCCAAGAGUCCAUAUCGACGGGAUGGUUUGGCACCUCGAUGUCGGCUCGUCGCAUCCUGGGGCUGGAGUAGGUCCCAAGGGUUGGGCUGUUCGCCCAUUAAAGCGGCACGCGAGCUGGGUUUAGAACGUCGUGAGACAGUUCGGUCUCUAUCCGCCGCGCGCGUAAGAAACUUGAGGAAACCUGUCCCUAGUACGAGAGGACCGGGACGGACGAACCUCUGGUGUGCCAGUUGUUCCACCAGGAGCACCGCUGGUUAGCUACGUUCGGAAGGGAUAACCGCUGAAAGCAUCUAAGCGGGAAGCCUGUUCCAAGAUGAGGUUUCUCACCACCUAGCGUGGUUAAGGCCCCCCACAGACCAUGGGGUUGAUAGGCCGGAACUGUAAGCACAGCAAUGUGUUCAGGUGACUGGUACUAAUCGGCCGAGGACUUACAG